GACAGAGGAUGCAAGCGUUAUCCGGAAUGAUUGGGCGUAAAGCGUCUGUAGGUGGCUUUGUAAGUUAGAGGUGAAAGCCUGGAGCUCAACUCCAGAAUUGCCUUUUAGACUGCAUCGCUUGAAUCAUGGAGAGGUCAGUGGAAUUCCGAGUGUAGAGGUGAAAUUCGUAGAUAUUCGGAAGAACACCAGUGGCGAAGGCGGCUGACUGGACAUGUAUUGACGCUGAGGUGCGAAAGCGUGGGGAGCAAACAGG
rnacentral:rRNA from 1 species